rnacentral:rRNA from 1 species
UUCGGCCUAUGGGGGGCAGCAGUGGGGAAUUUUGGACAAUGGGCGCAAGCCUGAUCCAGCUAUUCCGCGUGUGGGAUGAAGGCCCUCGGGUUGUAAACCACUUUUGUAGAGAACGAAAAGACACCUUCGAAUAAAGGGUGUUGCUGACGGUACUCUAAGAAUAAGCACCGGCUAACUACGUGCCAGCAGCCGCGGUAAUACGUAGGGUGCGAGCGUUAAUCGGAAUUACUGGGCGUAAAGGGUGCGCAGGCGGUUGAGGAAGACAGAUGUGAGAUCCCCGAGCUUAACUCGGGAAUGGCAUAUGG